UUAAAAGUGUGCUCCAGCAAUUUAGUCUUCCUAAGCAGAUAUCCUGCAAGCUCUGCAGAGGAUGUCAAAACCUGCUGAUAUCUAACAGAGUCAACUCCAAGUUUGUGUAUCCCGGUCCACUCUACCUUUCCAUCAGACAGUACAUGUGGAAAUGGAAAAGUAGCUCUCUAAUUAAUCAAAGUCAGAUCUGCCUGAACGCCUGGAGUUGCUGCUGAUCCUUGUCCCAGCUUCUCCCAUGUUCUCUCUCUAUGUUUUUACCUUGAAAACUUCUGCUCAGAGCUGGGAAUGCCUGAAGGGCUUGCACGAAUAGGAAAACUGAUUACCUGGCUCCAUGUUCCAUGCGCAGUUUCAUGUCACUAAACUGAUCAGAAAAGAAUUGGGCCAACCCUGGGGAAACAGAAAGAACAUCUCACAACCCACCCAUACCCAAGAGGGGCCAGAUGACACAUGGUGCAGAGUAUUGACAGAUGUGGGAUAUGUCUAGAUAUGUCUAACGGCACAGAAAAAAUUCCAUAUGGGAGAGAUUUAAAAGAUUUUCACUAUGUAGUUUAAAGAGAAGAUGAGUAAUAGGACACGAUACACAUUUAUAAAAUAAUGUAUGAUAUAGAGAAUAUAUAUAUGGAAGUCCUAUUUACUCUUUCUCGUGACAUUAGAACAAAGAGACCCCAAUGAAAUUAACAAGCAAGACAUUUGAAAAUAAUAAAAAGAAAUACUUAUUUUUCAUAGCCUGCAAUUAACCUCUGGAACUCAUUGCUGUGAGAUAUUAGUGUAGCUUAACAGGAUUCAAAACAGAAGUAAACAUUUAUAAUACCAACUCCCAUAGUUACAUUAGACAGGACAAAACAUUUUAUGGAAUAUAAAACUUCAUGCAUUAAGACGUAAAGCAGCCAACUGCCUGGGUUUAGGAAGAAACUUCUCCAUUAGGAAAGUUGCAUAUAAUUGCUUAUUAAGUUGCUUCUUGCACCUUUCUCCACAAAAGCAUGUAGUAUGGGCCAAUCUUGGAAAUAGGAUAGUGGACUAGCUGGACUGUGAGAAUUCUAUAUUCCUUUGAUAUUAAUAGUUUGCUUUGAUUUUCCACAGACACAAACCAAGAUGAACUAAUUUGACUUCAUCCUCUAACAACCAGGUUCUUCUUUUAAUUGUUAUUGGUAUUUUAUACACUUAAUUGCUCAUCUUCCCUGAGUAAGGCAUUUGGGACUAACACCUUUGUGACAUUUGUGUGUGCCAAAUUUGUGGGAUGGCUCUGAUAAUUAUUCAUUAAUCAUGACUAUAUGGAUAAUUCUACAGCCAGAGACCCUGCAAAUAGUAAGUGCCUAUAACAGGGCUGUCCUGAGUCAAACUUCUUGAAUGUUAUUUCCAUUUGAGGAAUUUUGAUAAGUUUGUUUCCCCCUAACUUGAGUUUGCAUAUCUCUAAUAUUACCAAUGUGUACCUGAAGCUGAUCCUUCUUUUCAGGUAGUGCAUUCAUUGCUGUGGAUGGGGAAGUCUAAGGAUUGGGAGCCAGUCAGACCUAAAAAGGAAAAGAGCUAAUGAAUUGCUUUAAAAAAUUGAAAAAAUAUGUGAAUAAGUAUGUGAGAUUAUACAAACUGUAAAUGGGGCAUGCAAUCUUAAAAGAAUAAAGCCGUAAAAUUCUGCUGUUUAGCCUAUUGUUAAU